rnacentral:rRNA from 1 species
UGCAAGUCGAGCGGUAAGGCCCUUUCGGGGGUACACGAGCGGCGAACGGGUGAGUAACACGUGGGUGACCUGCCCUCCACUCUGGGAUAAGCCCGGGAAACUGGGUCUAAUACCGGAUAGGACCACUGAUCGCAUGGUUGGUGGUGGAAAGUUUUUUCGGUGGGGGAUGGGCCCGCGGCCUAUCAGCUUGUUGGUGGGGUGAUGGCCUACCAAGGCGGUGACGGGUAGCCGGCCUGAGAGGGCGACCGGCCACACUGGGACUGAGACACGGCCCAGACUCCUACGGGAGGCAGCAGUGGGGAAUAUUGCGCAAUGGGCGGAAGCCUGACGCAGCGACGCCGCGUGGGGGAUGACGGCCUUCGGGUUGUAAACCUCUUUCGCCAGGGACGAAGAGCAAUUGACGGUACCUGGAGAAGAAGCACCGGCCAACUACGUGCCAGCAGCCGCGGUAACACGUAGGGUGCGAGCGUUGUCCGGAAUUAUUGGGCGUAAAGAGCUCGUAGGCGGUGUGUCGCGUCGGCCGUGAAAACUUGGGGCUUAACUCUGAGCGUGCGGUCGAUACGGGCAUCACUUGAGUUCGGCAGGGGAGACUGGAAUUCCUGGUGUAGCGGUGAAAUGCGCAGAUAUCAGGAGGAACACCGGUGGCGAAGGCGGGUCUCUGGGCCGAUACUGACGCUGAGGAGCGAAAGCGUGGGGAGCGAACAGGAUUAGAUACCCUGGUAGUCCACGCCGU